UGAAAACUCCGGUGGUUGAUGAUGGGCAUGCGUUGUAUUAGCUGGUUGGUGAGGUAACGGCUCACCAAGGCGACGAUACAUAGGGGGACUGAGAGGUUAACCCCCCACAUUGGUACUGAGACACGGACCAAACUCCUACGGGAGGCAGCAGUGAGGAAUAUUGGUCAAUGGACGCAAGUCUGAACCAGCCAUGCCGCGUGCAGGAUGACGGCUCUAUGAGUUGUAAACUGCUUUUGUACGAGGGUAAACCCCGAUACGUGUAUCGGGUUGAAAGUAUCGUACGAAUAAGGAUCGGCUAACUCCGUGCCAGCAGCCGCGGUAAUACGGAGGAUCCGAGCGUUAUCCGGAUUUAUUGGGUUUAAAGGGUGCGUAGGCGGUUUGAUAAGUUAGAGGUGAAAUGUCGGGGCUCAACCCCGAAACUGCCUCUAAUACUGUUGGACUAGAGAAUAGUUGCGGUAGGCGGAAUGUAUGGUGUAGCGGUGAAAUGCUUAGAGAUCAUACAGAACACCGAUUGCGAAGGCAGCUUACCAAACUAUAUCUGACGUUGAGGCACGAAAGCGUGGGUAGCAAACAGGAUUAGAUACCCUGGUAGUCCACGCAGUAAACGAUGAUAACUCGUUGUCGGCG
rnacentral:rRNA from 1 species